rnacentral:rRNA from 1 species
AAGUUGUUGCGGUUAAAAGCUCGUAGUUCGAGCUCAGUUCCGGACUGGCUGGGGAGGUCACCGCCCGGUGCUUCCCCGUCAGGCUCCGAACAGCCUCCGUGAGCGGAGGCCAAGCCGGUUCUGCCGGGGUGCUCUUCGCCGAGUGUCCCGCGCGGCCGGCCGGUUCACCUUGAACAAAUGAGAGUGCUCAAAGCAGGCUACUCUUGAAUAAUAUGCCCGAAUGUUACCUGCAUGGAAUGAUGGAAGAUGAUCUCGGUUCCAUUUUAUUGGUGGUGGGAGCCCGAGGUAAUGAUAAACAGGGACUGUCGGGGGCAUCCGUACUACGACGCGAGAGGUGAAAUUCAGUGACCGUCGUAGGACGAACAACAGCGAAAGCAUUUGCCAAGAAUGUCUUCGUUGAUCAAGAACGAAAGUUAGAGGAUCGAAGGCGAUCAGAUACCGCCCUAGUUCUAACCCUAAACGAUGCUGACUAGCAAUUCGCCGUCGUUAUUCCCAUGACGUGGCGAGACGCCCCCGGGAAACCUCAAGUCUUUGAGUUCCGGGGGUAGUAUGGUUGCAAAACUGAAACUUAAAGGAAUUGACGGAAGGGCACCACCAGGAGUGGAGCCUGCGGCUUAAUUUGACUCAACACGGGAAACCUCACCGGGCCCGGACACCAGAAGGAUUGACAGAUUAAGAGCUCUUUCUCGAUUUGGUGGGUGGUGGUGCAUGGCCGUUCUUAGUUGGUGGAGUGAUUUGUCUGGUUAAUUCCGGUAACGAACGAGACUCUGGCCUACUAAAUAGUCGACGGGCGUUUUGGUGCAUGGGCCCCGUUCGACACAGUCUUCUUAGAGGGAUGAGCAGCGAGUAUAGCUGCAGGAGAUUGAGCAAUAACAGGUCUGUGAUGCCCUUAGAUGUCCUGGGCCGCACGCGCGCUACACUGAAUGGGUUAGCGGGUUGUCCUUCUCCGAGAGGAGCGGGAAAUCGCGUGAAAACCAUUCGUGAUAGGGAUUGGGGCUUGCAAUUGUUUCCCAUGAACGAGGAAUUCCCAGUAAGCGCAAGUCAUCAGCUUGCGUUGAUUAAGUCCCUGCCCUUUGUACACACCGCCCGUCGCUACUACCGAUUGAAUGAUUUAGUGAGGCCUUCGGACUGGCGGUCCUGGACUGGGGCUCCGGCGUUUCCCUUCCGGGGUGCCGGCGACCCGCCUGGACGUGCCGGAAAGAUGUCCAAACUUGAUCAUUUAGAGGAAGUAAAAGUCGUAACAAGGUUUCCGUAGGU